GAUCACUCACAGGCAACCGGCAAUAAUAACGAAAGAAAGAGAGAGUGGAAGGACGCAUGAAUAAUAAAAGAGUAAUGUACAAAUCAAAGCUUCAACAACUGUCCCAGCAGAGAGGAUGGGAGAUCCCUAAGUAUGAAGUCACUAAAGAGGGACAAGAGCACAGCCCUCACUUUUAUGCCACUGUCACCGUCGACGCCACCCUCUUUUCUACUCCUUUCCCCUCUUCUUCCACUAAGAAAGCUCAAAACGACGCUGCUAAGCUCGCCUAUAAAUACUUCUCCGACCACCCUCGCCCUUCCUCCUCCUCCCCCCUUAAUGUUUCUGCAGACUGUUCGGGUGGAAGCGCUGGGGAGAAUACUCGUCCAUCUCCCGGAGGGAAAUUGGAAUUAGACAUACAAGAUGCAAAUCCAACUCCCCUGUCAAAUGAAGCCGGGGCAGUUGCCAAGACUGAUGAGAGUUUUGGAGGUAUUCUGCACUUGUUUAAAAACCAGCUGCAAACCUAUGCGCAAAAGAGAAAUUUCACUCGACCUGUGUAUUCUUGUGAGCGUGUGGGUCCUCCUCAUGCUAUUCGCUUUAAGUGCAAGGUCACUGUAAACGGACAAACCUAUGAGAGUCGGGAAUAUUUUCCCACAUUGAGCAAAGCUGAAAAUGCAGCUGCAAAAGCUGCAUUGAUGUCAUUGUUGCCAAAUGGAGUUGAAGAGGAUGAAUCUGGUUAUAAGAAUCUUUUACAAGAUAUGGCUCAGAGAGAAGGUUGUGGUUUGCCAACUUAUUUUACAGAGAAAUCUGGUGAAGCUCAUGCGCCUACUUUCAUUUCAACAGUGGAGAUAGAUGGAGUGAAUUUUACUGGAAAAGAAGCAAGAAAUAAGAAGCAAGCAGAGAUGAGUGCUGCAAAGAUUGCAUACACAGCUCGAAGACGUUGACUGGUGCUCAAUGGGGAUGCGGGUUUAUGUUGUGUCUUUAUGCAUAUCCAUGGCAGAUGUGUGCAUGCAUAUGACACCAUAGAACAGUGUACAGAUAUCAAACGUUUUUUACUAUCUUAGAGUACAAGUCGGUAAAUCAGGAUAGAGAGUAACUCAAACUUGCGUCUCCAUGCUAUUUUAGAUGAUUUGACAUGAAUAACACCUGCCUCCAGGUAGAAAGCUUUAACUGUGAUAUAAGAUGAACUCACAAAAAUCUUCACUGAGGGAGGAGGUAACCGCAAGGUUACUCUAUAGUUUUGUUGAAGAAUAGAAAACCACUCCUAGUUUCAGAACCUUCUUUUGAUGUCAUUUCCUACCUGUUCCUAUAUUCUAAUGGGCCAAUAUAUUUACCAAA